CCCUUAGACACUCUAGGCGGCACGCGCGCUACAAUGGGUGGAAGACCGUGUUACUGCCUUCGAAAGAAGGGGUGAAUCACGAAUUCUUACCCGUGAAUGGGAUAGUUUGUUGCAAUUUUCGGACUUGAACUAGGAAUCCCUUGUAAGCAUGCUCAAGAAUAGCGUGUUGAAUACGUCCCUGCCGUUUGUACACACCGCCCGUCGUUUCUUCCGACUGAUACUCAUUGUGAGUUGCAAGGACGCUUCAUUGUGAAAUUGCUGCGAAUGCUUUGUAUUGGAGGAAGAAAAAGUCGUAACAA
rnacentral:rRNA from 1 species